ensembl:lncRNA
AUCUAUUGCUCACUUCCUCUAGGCUCUGUUCCCUGGGGCGGCUCUUCCAAAGGAAGCAAAGUUGCUUCAGGCCACUUCUGUUGUUCUCAGACAAAUUAGCCUAUGUAGGCAUCCAUUUCCUCAUUUGUGAAAUAAGAAAAACCCACUUCUUUGGAUUGUUGUGGGGGAUAUAUUUUAUACAGAAGUACAUUGUGUGUGUGUGCAAGCCUAGGACAAAACAUUUCUGAAUAAAUUCAGAUACCUUCCCCACACCUCACCCUAUUAAAAGCAGAACGAACUGGAGGAAGGGCAUAUUUCUUCCCUGUUCAGAACACUUACUGGCACUCCACGCCCUAUGAGAUUAAGAACAAACCCUGCCUUGUAUUCAAAACCUUUACCAUAAAACUCCACUUCUCACUCCUCACGGAACAUGAUCUGCAUUUGCUCACCUGUAUACUCUUCUCCUGUCCCUUUCUCUGCUUGUACUGGUCUCUCUCAAUUUUGCCAAAAUGUUAUCCAUCACUUGAGUCUCAAAAAGUGUGGAAAUUCUACACAAAUCAAAUUUCGGAGACUUAGACCCUUCGCAGUCCACAAGCUUAUUGAUUCUCAGAGCUUCAAGUUCAGGAAAUCUACAGUAGAAUCCAAUUUGGGAAGAACAGAAUUGCUGGACAAUGAAUAAAUCCUGCUGAGCACAGCGUAAAGGAAUUCAUGGCUGAAUUGAGGUAUCCAACUACACUUAAUCUUGAAAAUCUUUUCAUAAUGAUCUUUCUUGGCUAUAAUUUAAAAGGCCAGAAAUAGAAGAAUGAGGAAAAAGAGAACAGACACCAUGGACAAUCUAUAAAAUCAUCUAUGAUCUUUCUAUAUUUCUUCUGAAGAUUCUUUUUAUCCCAGCUCAUUGUCUGCUCCUCUCCAGGUACCUUCCUAGCUUCCUCUUGAGAUACUCCUUGGACUCCCUGUUUGUGAAACUUUCUCAGACACAAAUUAGUAGAGAGGUUAUUAUAAGCUUGGAGGCAGAGUCAAAAAUCCCUUGAAUGAAGUAAUCUAUCAGCAAAUGAUUCUCCCAGCCCCUACUUAUCCCAGACCCAUCACUGAAAAAUUACUGUAUUUCCUCUAUUUAUUGAAGUACAUAAAUGUGUUAAUUUUAUAAUUAGGAAUAACUUAGAGACAUGAUUAUUCUCUUCAGGUAUCUUAAGAGCUAUCAUUUCUAAGAUGAACUUCUCUUUAUAUCUCCUUAGGGUGAAAUUAAGUUUUAUAAGUAGACUUAUCUAUAGGCCAGUUUGGGGCUACUCUAGGGAAAGCCUUUCCAAUAACUAGUCAGAUAGUAGGAUGGAAUACCUAAUGACUAGGAGAGAUUUCUAUUAUUGAAGUCACUUGAAGGUCAUGGAAGAGGCUAGGUGACCACCUGAAUGAGUUUCCUGAAUACAGUGGUGCUUUAUCAAAAUUUUGUCUUGGAGAUACUUAAACCCAAGGACUUUACAUCAGAUUUUCAUUGAUCUAACCAUUUGUCUACUUAUCUAUCAUAUCAUAUUGGAUGUCACAGUCAAGGGUUUGCAGUCGAUAGGUAUAUUUCUUACUGUCGGUAAGCUUGCUCUGGGUUUAUGAGAUCCAGUAAAGAUACAGCUACAU